rnacentral:tRNA from 1 species
GGCCAUGUGGCUCAAUGGCAGAGAGCAUCUGACUACGAAUCAGAAGGUUGCAGGUUCUCGACCCCUGUCUCGGUUA